GGAAUCUUCCACAAUGGGCGCAAGCCUGAUGGAGCAACACCGCGUGAGUGAAGAAGGGUUUCGGCUCGUAAAGCUCUGUUGUUAGAGAAGAACGUGCGUGAGAGCAACUGUUCACGCAGUGACGGUAUCUAACCAGAAAGGCACGGCUAACUACGUGCCAGCAGCCGCGGUAAUACGUAGGUGGCAAGCGUUGUCCGGAAUGACUGGGCGUAAAGGGUACGUAGGUGGCUAUUCAAGUUAGUUGUGAAAUCCCGGGGCUUAACUUCGGUGCUACAAUUAAGACUGUUUAGCUUGAGUGCAGGAGGGGUAAGUGGAAUUCCUAGUGUAGCGGUGGAAUGCGUAGAUAUUAGGAAGAACACCGGUGGCGAAGGCGACUUACUGGACUGUAACUGACACUGAAGUACGAAAGCGUGGGGAGCAAACA
rnacentral:rRNA from 1 species